AUACCCCGGUAGUCCUGGCCGUAAACGAUGGGUACUAGGUGUAGGAGGUAUCGACCCCUUCUGUGCCGGAGUUAACGCAAUAAGUACCCCGCCUGGGGACUACGAUCGCAAGAUUGAAACUCAAAGGAAUUGACGGGGGCCCGCACAAGCGGUGGAGUAUGUGGUUUAAUUCGACGCAACGCGAAGAACCUUACCAAGGCUUGACAUUGAGUGAAAGGCUUAGAGAUAAGCCCCUCUCUUCGGAGACACGAAAACAGGUGGUGCAUGGCUGUCGUCAGCUCGUGUCGUGAGAUGUUGGGUUAAGUCCCGCAACGAGCGCAACCCUUAUCCUAUGUUACCAGCACGCAAUGGUGGGGACUCAUAGGAGACUGCCAGGGAUAACCUGGAGGAAGGCGGGGAUGACGUCAAGUCAUCAUGCCCCUUAUGUCUUGGGCUACACACGUACUACAAUGGUCGGCAACAAAGGGCAGCGAAGCCGCGAGGCGGAGCCAAUCCCAGAAACCCGACCCCAGUUCGGAUCGCAGGCUGCAACCCGCCUGCGUGAAGUUGGAAUCGCUAGUAAUCGCAGGUCAGCAUACUGCGGUGAAUACGUUCCCGGGCCUUGUACACACCGCCCGUCACACCACGAAAGUUGGUAACACCCGAAGCCGGUGAGAUAACCUUUUAGGAGUCAGCUGUCUAAGGUGGGGCCGAUGAUUGGGGUGAAGGCGUAACAAGGUAGAGCUCUCAGUCAGUCAAAUCGAAUUC
rnacentral:rRNA from 1 species